AACAAGGCGUACCUGCGGACCUGCGGAGGGAUCAUUACUGAGUCACGUGCUCAAACAACCCUUCUGUGGACCUGAAAUAAAACCGUUGCCUCGGCGGGCGGUCCCCCCCAAACCAACCCCACGUGGUGGGUUAGGGGAGACCAGACAGUCCGGUACGCUUAAGGCGUCCGGCGCCAGCCGCUGGCCCCAAACAAUUAAACUCUAGUAAUCUUUACCUUCUGAGUUUCAAUAUUUAAAGAU
rnacentral:misc_RNA from 1 species